AUGAAGUCCUACAGUGAGAAUUGGUUGAAGAAGGAUGUCAUGCUAAUUUCAGUUCUUUCCAGCCCAGAGUGCUAUGCCUUCUGCAUUAUUCCCACAUUUCCCUUCAUGUUGAACAAAACCCAGGAUUUUGGCAUGCAUUCAGCUAAUGUAUCUUUUAGCUUGGGAAUGGGGAAUUUGUUGGGUGUGAAGGGUCAAAAUCCCUUCUUCUUCCCUUCCCCAGACUCCCUCAAGAGCGGCUGUGUUUUGCUUUCUUCCCAUCAGUCAGCCUGCCCAUCUUCAUCCCUGAUGCCUGCUUGUUCCACUAUGAGGAACCUCCAGGAGAUCUUCAAGAUCAAUUUCUGGUUCAGGAACAGCUGCUUCUGUUUCUUCCGUUAGCUAGAAAGAAAAAAAUACACAUUUAAACCUUCAGACUUGUAAGAACUCUAGAGGGCGAUCUUUGAAGAACUAAGUAGCUGAAAGAAAACUAGUUAAAAGAAAACCAUGCUGCAAAGUUGAGGUCAAGAUAUAAAUCAUCCCAAUAUAAGAUGGUGCUUGUAAAUAGGGCAUGGAUUCCAGCCCAUCUUUGGCACUUACUGCAGCCAUCUGUCCUGGUAUACACAUUCGGCAUCUGCAAACAUUGUCACCUUAACAUCUGACACUGCUUCUCAGGGAUCAUGGUCUAUCAUGGGAAGACCUUUUCAAGAAUAUCGUUGCAAUGCCAGCUUGAGACAACCUCCUUUUAAGAAGAGCAUGCAUAUGACUUCGCCAAACAGAAGUCUAGCCAGCUUGAUCUCAAAGAGGCACAACUAAUAUAGAGUAAAUUUAGGCUUUUGGGCUAUAUAUAUUCACAUACUUGCUAUUUACACUAAGGCUUUUUGCAGUAAUGGACAAUUAUGCUUUUGAAAGGCCUAACAAUAUUUUGUCAGCUUUCUCUAACAGACAUGAGAGGGUUAUAAUAGUCUCCUUCAAUGUAAGAGAGGUCCCAAGCUUUGGUGAUUGGAAUAAUAAUCUUGUAAUGCAGUGUUAGUCUGAAACAUUUGUAAAUUGGGUACCAGACAUGUUUUAUCUUCACAUAUCCCUACAAGACAUUAAGGAAGGCACGCUGUGUUUUCCAACCUAUUUGCAAAAUGAAUCUUUAACAACCUGACACUAGUGAUACUGUAACAUAUUAACCAGCAGAAUAGAGGAUACUGAAUAAACAGUGCAGUACUUAAUUGUUGGAUACUAUU
rnacentral:lncRNA from 1 species